rnacentral:rRNA from 1 species
CCUACGGGUGGCAGCAGUGAGGAAUAUUGGUCAAUGGCCGGAAGGCUGAACCAGCCAAGCCGCGUGAAGGAUGAAGGUGCCAAGCAUUGUAAACUUCUUUUGUCAAGGGACAAAAUCAGGCUCGAGAGCCUGACCGAGGGUACUUGAAGAAAAAGCAUCGGCUAACUCCGUGCCAGCAGCCGCGGUAAUACGGAGGAUGCGAGCGUUAUCCGGAUUUAUUGGGUUUAAAGGGUGCGUAGGCUGGGUGUUAAGUCAGCGGUGAAAUGCUUGCGCUCAACGGGGUAAAUUGCCAUUGAUACUGGCAUGCUGGAGUGCGGAUGCGGUAGGAGGAAUGUGUGGUGUAGCGGUGAAAUGCAUAGAUAUCACGCAGAACACCGAUUGCGAAGGCAUCUCAC